UAGAGCUCCCCUCCUCUGCUCCCCCCAUAGCUCUCCUACGCGUCGUUGGAGCUCCCUUGGUCAGCUCCCCCAUGCCAGAGCUCCCCUCCUCUGCUCCCCCACAUAGCUCUCCCGCGCGACGCUUGGAGCUCCCCCGCCCCACGCCACCGCCGCGUUGCUUCCCCCUCGUUCCCCAUGGAGAACCAUGGCAAGGAGAAGGCUUGAUUUUUUUUUAUAUGCUCCCCGACGGGAGACGUCCUUCCCCGAGGGCGGCGAGCCGAAGCUAGCCCUACAUGUCGUCGAACACCUCCUCACUGGGUGGAUGCCGUCGGCCACGAAGUCGGUCCCGACUGCAUCUGCUCAACUCCACAGUCCACACCAAGAAUCGCUCUUGGCUAAAAUUGGUCUUCUCCAAGCACGUGCCGCCUCUCUUCUCCCGCCACUUCGCCGACCACGUCUUCACCGUCGGCAUCAGCGGUCCUGUUCGCACCGUAUGGUGGUGGUGAUAGCUGUUUAAUCGAUCUGGUACUCAGUGCUGGAUAUACUCCUUGUUGAGUCAAGUUGUGCUAGUACCCAAGCAUCUAUUUCAGGCCAAGUUUUCGCUCCAAUAUUGAUACACUUGGAUGAAAAUGACCCCUAGCUAGCGAUAUUGGGUGCGCAUGGGCCAGCCUGCUCCGUUGACUUGCUUUUCUAGGGUUUAUACGUUGGUUGUAUACGUGGGCGGGCCUCCUUCCUUCUCUGGGCUGCGCGUCGCCCUUCGUCGACGUGUGGUGGGCUGCGUCAGCGUACGCGGUACCGCUUUGCGCUGGGAAGGCGGUGCCGACUCGAUCGUCUGGCGUACGGGAGCUCCUAACGGGCGCCUUUAGCGCCAGUUGGCAGUUCGGGCGCCCACGCGGCUGUGAACUGGGCCGGCCCAGCAAAAAGUCAAGCGAGCAAAGAACAGCCAAAAAUUGGUCGAGUAGCGAACGACACGGGCAAACCAACUACACUACACCGGACUACUGGCGAAAUCAAGGAAGACUGUUUAAAGUACUCUGUCGCCGCACAAUUUAUUCAUAUACAUGUAAACGUACUGUAGCGCUUUGAUUUUUAAAUUAUUUGAAAACAUUUGG